CAAUGCGACCCCAGGUCAGGCGGGGCUACCC
rnacentral:rRNA from 1 species